rnacentral:snoRNA from 1 species
AACACAUGAUGACAACGGUUUCGGUCCCAGAUGAUCGCCUGAUUACUACCCAUUGAGAUCACCUGACGUU